rnacentral:rRNA from 1 species
GUGAUCGAGCCAAGGGCGCACGGUGAAUGUCUUGGCAUCGAGAGGCGAUGAAGGACGUAGGAACCUGCGAUAAGCCACGAGGAGCCGGUAACCAGGCUGUGAUCCGUGGAUCUCCGAAUGGGGCAACCCGCCCGCAAGGGCGCUUCACUCUGAAUGCAUAGGGGUGAAGAGCGAACCCGGGGAAGUGAAACAUCUCAGUACCCGGAGGAAAAGAAAGCAACCGCGAUUCCGUGAGUAGCGGCGAGCGAAAGCGGACGAACCGGUGGUGGUGAGCGAAGCGUUUGAAUGACGCGCCACAGAAGGUGAAAGCCCUGUACCCACCCGCCGGGAAGCCCAUGGAUUAGACUCUGGCUCGGGAAACCGGGGUCGAAGAUGGGGGGUCCACCCUCCAAGGCUGAAUACUCCUCGAUGACCGAUAGCGAACCAGUAAGGCGACUGAACGAUGAAAAGCUCCGCGACGAGCGGAGUGAAAGAGCACCUGAAACCGUGCGCCUACAAGCGGUCGGAGCCCUCCGGGGUGACGGCGUGCUUUUUGCAUAAUGAGCCCACGAGUUGGUCUGUGCGGCGAGCCUAAGGCCUACCGGGCCGGAGGCGGAGCGAAAGCGAGUCCGAAAUGGGCGCCCAGUCGCACGGGCCAGACGCGAAACCUAAGUGAUCUACCCUUGGGCAGGUUGAAGGGCGGGUAAAACCGCCUGGAGGACCGAACGCAUGAACGUUGAAAAGUUCUGCGAUGACCUGAGGGGAGGCGGUUAAAGGCCAAUCAAACUGGGAGAUAGCUCGUUCUCUCCGAAAUAACUUUAGGGUUAGCCUCAGGCGGCAAGUGCUGGGGGUAGAGCGACUGGAUGAGCGGUGGGGUCCGCAAGACUACCCUGCUUAACCAAACUCCGAAUACCAGCACCCAAGGCCUGGGAGAUAGACCGCGAGCGACAAUGUCCGCGGUCAAAAGGAGAAAAAUCCUGAUCGCCAGCUAAGGUCCCCAAUUUCUGCUCAGUUCGAAAGGAAGUCACGUUGCGGUGACAGCCGGGAUGUUGGCUUAGAAGCAGCCACCAUUUAAAGAGUGCGUAACAGCUCACCGGUCGAGCAAUGUGGCGCCGAAAAUGAUCGGGAAUAAGCAGAAAACCGAAGCUGCGGGCUCCGCAAGGAGCGGUAGGAGAGCGUUGCUGUCGCGGCGAAGCGGUUCCGAAAGGGUCCGUGGAGCGUCAGCAAGUGAAUAUGUGGGCUUAAGUAACGAUAAAACGGGUGAGAAUCCCGUUCGCCGAAAGCCUAAGGUUUCCUGGGGAAGGUAAUUCCGCCCAGGGUUAGUCGGGUCCUAAGGCGAGGCCGAAAGGCGUAGUCGAUGGCCGGCAGGUCAAUAUUCCUGCACACACCCGGAGAUCAAGCCCAGGUUCGGGCCUCCGAGGAUGGGGGGACUGUCAGAUGUCCAGGCCCUUGAGGCCGAUUCCCAUCGGAGGGGGCUCCCAGAAGAGCCUGGGGGGCAAAGGGUGUCCCGUACCACAAACUGACACAGGUAGGCAAGGUGAAUAACCAAAGGCGCUCGAGAGAACGGUCGUGAAGGAACUAGGCAAGUUCACCCCGUAAGUUCGCAAGAAGGGGGGCCUCCUCCGCAAGGAGAGGCCGCAGAGAAGAGGCUCUGGGAACUGUUUAUCAAAAACACAGCUCUGUGCGAACUCGAGAGAGGACGUAUACAGAGUGACGCGUGCCCAAUGCCGGAAUGUCAAGGAAGCGGGUCAGCGCAAGCGAAGCUCGCGACCGAAGCACCGGCGAAUGGCGGCCGUAACUAUGACGGUCCUAAGGUAGCGAAGUUCCUUGUCGGGUAAGUUCCGACGCGCAUGAAUCGCGUAAUCACUGGAGCACUGUCUCCACGACCGACUCGGUGAAAUAGAAGUGGCGGUGAAGAUACCGCCUACCCGCAGCAAGACGGAAAGACCCCGUGGACCUUUACUGCAGGCCCCUAUUGGCCACGAGCAUAUACUGCGUAGUAUAGGUGGGAGGCUUCGACGCCCGGAUUCCGGUCCGGGAAGAGCCACCAAGUGAAAUACCACCCUGUGUAAGUUUGUGGCCUAACCUCGAUUCCCGUGAAGCCGGGCGAGGAACAGUGGGUGUCGGGCAGUUUGACUGGGGCGGUCUUCUCCCAAAGUGUAACGGAGAAGUGCAAAGGUCGGCUCAGCACGGAUGGAAACCGUGUGAAGAGUGCAAGAGCACAAGCCGGCUUUACUGCGAGUCCGACGGGACGAGCAGUCGCGAAAGCGGGCUCUAGUGAUCCUGCGAUCCCGUGUGGAAGGGUCGUAGCUCAUCGGAUAAAAGGUACCCCGGGGAUAACAGGCUGAUCGCGCCCGAGCGUCCAUAGCGGCGGCGCGGUUUGGCACCUCGAUGUCGGCCCAUCGCAUCCUGGGGCUGAAGGCGGUCCCAAGGGUUGGGCUGUUCGCCCAUUAAAGCGGUACGCGAGCUGGGUUCAGACCGGCGUGAGCCAGGUCGGUCCCUAUCUGCUGUGGGCGCUGCACACUUGACAGGAGUCAACCUUAGUACGAGAGGAUUGGGUUGGACGCACCCCUGGUGAUCCAGUUGGACCGCUCGGUCCACCGCUGGGUAGCUACGUGCGGCAGGGAUAACCGCUGAAAGCAUCUAAGCGGGAAGCCCCCCUGAAGAUGAGGUGUGCUAGUCGCAAGACGAGAGACCCCUGGAAGACCACCAGGUUGAUCGGCCGCAAGUGCACGGGCUGAAAGGCCCUUAGCUGAGCGGUACGAACGGUCGAAGCUCGAUCAC